CUUUAUGAUACUUAAGUUGUGGUUGGAUGCAUGAUCACUGGACAGGAUAAUUUAGAUGGCAUGCUCUGUCUGUACCAGGAAUAAAAUAAUCUAUUGCAAAAAAUAAAAGCAGUUCAGCCCACACCUGCUAUCAAAAACCUAUAUGUGACCUUUCAGAUUUAAUGUUUAAGAUAAUAAAAGAUGUUUAAGAGUUAAAAAUUAAGGUGUUUGUAAUAGUCUG